rnacentral:lncRNA from 1 species
CGUUACCAUUACGGCCUAUGGAAAAACUAAUGCGCAUCUGUACCCAAUUUAGAAGCUCAAUUCCAGAAGUUGUCGGACUGAUUUAUGGAUGAUUUCACCUGUACACCACCGAAAAUGAUGGUUAGUAUUUUUUUAUUUAUACCUAGUUAUCAUAAAUGGUUUAAGAUAAAUAUUAUUGAUAAAGAUCAGCAAAAACUCAAGGAAAUUUUCGCUUUUAAAAUGCAUUACUGGCACGGGGCUGAACACUUUUUUUAGGCACAAUCAUAACUUUGUUUACUUCCGAGAGAUCCGAAAGGAAUUUGUUUGCUACAUUGAAAAGGCAAGAAAUAACUUUUAAAUAUUAUUAAAUUGUAAGUAAACAUGACACAAUAUAGUCUUUGUUAUGUAAUUAUCACUCUGGUCUACAGGAAUACCUGAUAAUCAAGGGAGAUAACACACUUCAUACGAGUAAAGUGAGAUACAUCAUCGCAUGUGCUUUUAACCAAUGAUUUGACCCCUGGUCAGUAGAUAUCAUAUGCAUAAAAAACAGAAAAAACAUUUACAUGCUUUAAGAAAAUCAUGAAUUAUUAUUUUUAAUGCACAUGAGCAAAACAAAAGAUAUUGUCAUUUCUCAGCACUGAAAAAGGGGGAGGGUCAAACUUUUUUGAAAACAAUAUUUCUGCACCUAUUCAAUUAUUAAGCUAGUUAGCUACUACCCAUUGCUUCUAAUAUAAAAGGUUUAAAUGAAGGUGGCUAAGCCACAAGGGAGAAGCAUUUGUCUUUCUUUGUGAUUAAACUUUCAAGAAUAAGAUUUUUCUCUCUCAAUAAUACUUAUGUAUUUAAAUCAAAU